rnacentral:rRNA from 1 species
CCUACGGGUGGCAGCAGUGGGGAAUAUUGGGCAAUGGGCGCAAGCCUGAACGAGCAAUGCCGCGUGAACGAGGAAGGUCUUCGGAUCGUAAAGUUCUGUUGAAGGGGAAAAAGAGCGGAGAGAGGAAAUGGUCUCCGAUUGAUAUUACCCUUCGAGGAAGUCACGGCUAACUACGUGCCAGCAGCCGCGGUAAUACGUAGGUGGCGAGCGUGAUCCGGAAUGAUUGGGCGGAAAGGGUGCGUAGGCGGCCUGCUAAGUCUGGAGUGAAAGGUACCGGCUCAACCGGUACAGGCUCUGGAAACUGGCGGGCUAGAGAGCAGGAGAGGGCGGUGGAACUCCAGGUGUAGCGGUAAAAUGCGUAGAUAUAUGGAAGAACACCAGUGGCGAAGGCGGCCGCCUGGCCUGUUACUGACGCUGAGGCACGAAAGCGUGGGGAGCAAAUAGGAUUAGAUACCCGAGUAGUC